rnacentral:rRNA from 1 species
GGCUACACAUGCAAGUCGAGCGCUCACUUCGGUGGGAGCGGCGGACGGGUUAGUAACGCGUGGGAACGUGCCCUUUACUAAGGAAUAGCCAUUGGAAACGAUGAGUAAUACCUUAUACGCCCUUCGGGGGAAAGAUUUAUCGGUAAAGGAUCGGCCCGCGUUAGAUUAGAUAGUUGGUGGGGUAACGGCCUACCAAGUCUACGAUCUAUAGCUGGUUUGAGAGGAUGAUCAGCAACACUGGGACUGAGACACGGCCCAGACUCCUACGGGAGGCAGCAA